GCCACUGCCAGUAGUUGGUGUCGUCGACGUCUGAGCGAGCUGAAACAAAAGGCUGCCAGCCAUCAGCAACAUAAACAUAAACUCAUGGCGUUGGCGUUGGCGUUUGUUGGCGGCGCGUGUUCCACAUACACAGAUUUACGAAUGUGAAUGGGAAUGAGAACUGGGAGGAGGCAUCCCAAACCAUGCUGCCACCUGCUGAAGUCGCCAAAGGAAGCGCUCGACGACGUCAUCGUUUCUUAAUUGCCCCAUAAACCGAACUCAUCUCAACUCAACUCAGUGUAGCAAUUUGUGUGCAUAAAUUUAGAAAUUGAUGAAUUUA